GUAUUUUAUGGUGUACAAGCUCUACAGUACAACCUAAGUACUACCCCAUCUUCGUUACCAUUAUGUAAUUUGUGCAUUACUGCUAGCCAACAUGUCUAAUAUAUA
rnacentral:ncRNA from 1 species